rnacentral:piRNA from 1 species
UUCUGGGAUGUCUAUAUAUAAUAUGUUA